rnacentral:misc_RNA from 1 species
GGAGGGAGAGGGAGAGGGUGGGAAACUGACCGACACUGAAAUCAAGGCGUUGUUACUGAACUUGUUCACAGCAGGGACAGACACCACCUCCAGCACCGUAGAGUGGGCUCUUGCCGAGCUCAUCCGUCACCCUCCACUCCUCCGCCAAGCUCAGAUAGAGCUUGAUGCUGUGGUCGGUCACGAUCGUCUCGUCUCUGAAUCUGACCUCCCCCACCUCCCCU